rnacentral:rRNA from 1 species
GACGAACGCUGGCGGCGUGCUUAACACAUGCAAGUCGAACGGAAAGGCCCUGCUUUUGUGGGGUGCCCGAGUGGCGAAAGGGUGAGUAACACGUGAGUAACCUGCCCUUGACUUGGAAUAACUCCAGGAAACUGGGGCUAAUACCGGAUAGGAUCUCCUGAUGCAUGGUGGGGGUUGGCAAGUUUCGGCGGUUGGGGAUGGACUCGCGGCUUAUCAGCUUGUUGGUGGGGUAGUGGCUUACCAAGGCUUUGACGGGUAGCCGGCCUGAGAGGGUGACCGGCCACCAUGGUACUGAGAGACGGCCCAGACUCCUACGGGAGGCAGCAGUGGGGAAUAUUGCACAAUGGGCGGAAGCCUGAUGCAGCAACGCCGCGUGCGGGAUGACGGCCUUCGGGUUGUAAACCGCUUUCGCCUGUGACGAAGCGGGAGUGACGGUAAUGGGUAAAGAAGCACCGGCUAACUACGUG